rnacentral:rRNA from 1 species
GACUCUCGGCAACGGAUAUCUCGGCUCUCGCAUCGAUGAAGAACGUAGCGAAAUGCGAUACUUGGUGUGAAUUGCAGAAUCCCGUGAACCAUCGAGUCUUUGAACGCAAGUGCGCGAAAAUCCACGCCGAGGCGCAGUCUGCUGGGGCGAAA